AUACGGAGGGUGCAAGCGUUACUCGGAAUCACUGGGCGUAAAGCGCGCGCAGGCGGGCUGAUAAGUUGGAUGUGAAAGCCUACGGCUCAACCGUAGAACUGCAUCCAAAACUGUCAGUCUAGAGUGUGGGAGAGGAAGAUGGAAUUAGUUGUGUAGGGGUAAAAUCCGUAGAGAUAACUAGGAAUACCAAAAGCGAAGGCGAUCUUCUGGAACAGUACUGACGCUGAGGCGCGAAAGCGUGGGGAGCAAACAGGAUUAGAAACCCGGGUAGUCC
rnacentral:rRNA from 1 species